rnacentral:tRNA from 2 species
GGAGACGUGGCCGAGUGGCUGAAGGCGCUCCCCUGCUAAGGGAGUAUACGGGAAACCGUAUCGAGGGUUCGAAUCCCUCCGUCUCCGCCA